AGGUGAAGAGGAGGGGUGAUAAAUGAUAAAUACUGGUUAAGCAAUCUAGUUCUUUUUAUAGGGAACUUAUUAUUCUGUUUAUUUUGUUGUUGUACUUUGCUUGUUUUUUAACCAGAAUGACUAGAGGAGGUUCACCUAGAGGCUAGUUAAUGGCAGCCAGAUAGUGUUUAAGCAAUAUCGGAUCCUAGAAAAUGAUGUUCAUGAUCUGACUUUUGACCACAAAAGCUGACGCAAGGCAGGAGUCUCUGUAGUCCUCGCUCCAAUGAAUCUGGAAAACCCAGGAUAAUUCCAUGGGAUCUGCCUGCAGCACUCCUGGAAAGGGUGAGUCUGACAGAAGCAACAGGCCAGCACGGACAUCAGUGACUUUGAAGGAAGGCAGUUUCUGCGUUGGGGGAGAAGAAAAUCUUCAUGCUUACUGGGGCUGUGGAGACUUGCCAUCUUCAUUAAGGAACUUACAUAAUUUUUAAAAGGGGAAUGUAUGUGAGAAAAGGGAAAAGAUUUGCACUUGCUGAUGUUCCAUAAGAAGCAAAUGUUUGACCAGAAAAACACAGCUUGUAUAAGAGAGAGAUCUUGUAGGGAGCUUGAUGCUCCCUAGAGAAGAUGUGAUGCCACGGCAUGGGUCUGCCUAGAGAACUGGUUGUCCUGUUUGGGAUCCCAGCAGUUCCAGAACAGACUUCUUUAACUACAAGUGCAUUUAGCUUCUUGAGCACUGCAAAAACACCUUAAAACCAAGCUGAGCUGCCUUUUAUAAAAUGCCGAUUUUAAUUCCUGAUGCGGGAAAAUUCUACCUUCUAAUGAUGCUGCAGGGGUGUGAGAAAAGGAACCAAAUUCCUCCUUGUCACUGCCCUUAGUCUGUAUUUCUAAUGGCCCUGGAAAACCAGCAUCAAAGCUUAUUUGUCUUGAGGCAGCAUUUAGGAGAGGGGCUGUGAUAACCUGAUUUCCAGUGCCUACCUAUGUAUGUCAGAUGUGUUGUAUGUGCUAAAGGCAGAGGAGACUGGCAGACAGCAGUAAGUUUGAGCUAUUUGUAUUUUCUUCCAGGAUUUGCUCUGCCCCAUCCUCCACUAGCCAAAGGCUGUAACAGGGGAUAACAUUAGUGUGGAGUCUUCGGGUCUCUGUCCUGAGAUGCCUCAGAUUUCUGAUGACAAGGUAAAGGUGUUUGACAAGAAGAAGGGGCUGAUAAGUCUCUCACCCUACUGUAAGAACCUAACUUUGCUUUUUCUCACUUAAGCCUUGGAACCAUGGCUAUAAGAAACACAUUACACUUUCCAGGGAGUGCUGAGAGCCCCAGAUGAAGCUGUCAUCCACGUGGAGGUGAGACCCAUCAGCAGACAAGGCUGGCCAGGCACUGGCACUCAGCAAGGACAUGAGUCAGAUGGAGAGAGGGCUGGCAGGCGUGCAGAGAGAGCGGUGCAGUAGGAGGCAGAAAGCAGCUGGCAGUGCAGGAGGGAGUAGUAAUGGGAACGAACAGGAGGAGGAGGAGGAGGGAAUACAAAAAGUCCUCAUUCUUGCACAGAUAUUCAGCAUCCUAUUCAGCAAAAAUAACAUUAGGAUUUCAAAGAAAUAUUCAAAUAAAUUUUGAUCCUUUGAGGUAUUUAUUUUAAUUCUUUAAUAAAAGGAGACGUAUGUGCAUUUCUCCCUCCAGCCCCAGCCUGUUUAAUAGCAUUACUUUUAGCUUCACCCCAUUCUAAAUCUUCCACGUGAAGUCUCAGCAGAUCCAAUCAGGUAUAUUUCAUUGCUCAAUGGUAGAGAGGAAAUGAAUUUUUCUGAUGAGGGCAAAGCACAGUGAAUAGUUUGAUUCUCCUCCCCAAUACCAUUUGCAAUCAGUUUUGUGCUGCAAAUGAAGUCAAUGUUUUCCUGGGUCAGAGGUGGCUAAUUAUUCACAGUACUUUCAUUUCCAGCAGUAGAAUCAUCAUAUUUCUGUCAAUCAUCAUUCUAACUAUGUUGUGCUUGAUUUACUUUGCGUUGCUCUUAGGUUUGCAAGUCUAGUGACUAUCCAGACUUGUUCUCUUCUUUGUUGCAUUCCCUCAGCCAGUAGUUCUUGUGGCUUCUGAAGGGACUAACACAAGGACUCUGGCACCAGUGCUGCAGUUUUCUCCCACUUUAUGAGGUCACGUCUGUUAAAAAAAUGAAAUGGGAAGGAGGAAAGAAUUUAACGCUCAGUGUGUAUCUAUCAAAACAGUGUUACUUCACUAAAAUGAUUAAUGUCAUCUCUGUUUUGUUUAACAGCAACAGAAUCCCAAAGCUGAGAGAAGUGUAAGAGUCAUGGUACAGCUGGGGUUUGAACCUGACUGUGUUAAUUCUCAGGCUAGUAUUUUCCCUUCCAGUGCUUAAUGCUUCCCUCUGAUGAGUGUCCAGAGCUCAGAUAGUUGCAGCGACCACAGAGGGUUUACAGCAUCCUUUGCAUUUAUCCCUUGCAGUCUUACCCUUGCAUUCAGAACACUUCCUAAUGUAAAUCAGCGGAGUAACUGAGCAUCCCUGAACGUCCUCUGCAGCAAAUUGACUGAUGCACUGGUAGGGAUGGAAACCCAAAGAAGCCAUGAUCCAGCCUUACCUUUUCAUGUAGUAGAAAGGUACUCUGUAUACAGAUCUGUUUAGAAAGAUUUUAAGAGGGCUCCAGAGUAGAUGCUAAUAAUUAAAAUGCUAAUUAAAAAUGUUCCCAAUGGUAUUCAAUAGUAGUGUUGUCAGGGCAGGUGAGAUUUCAAUUAUCUUGCUAUUGCUCUUUGAACUAGAAAAGUGCCCUGCAGUGAGUAAAGGUGGAGUACCUCAGCCAUGGCUGCUUCACAGUGCUGAAGUGCUGACUUUCCUCGGGAAUUCUUCAGUUUCUCUUUUUCACAUUAAAAAAAUCCACAGGUUUCUUCCUAUGAUUCUGAAUGUGCAAAAUGGCCACUUUGAGAACCUCAGUGUCACAGGAGAGUGAGCAACACCACAUGGGUCUCCUGCCCAGAGAGCCUCGUGAGACCCUGUCACAAUUUUCACUUGCUGUCUUUGCUCCAAACAGAACUGGUGACAAGACUGGGCUUCAGGGCUUUGAAAUGUCAGCCACCACGGCAGGGGAUGCGGGUCAGCAAAGGGCCAACAGGGCGCCUUCUUCAAGAUCAGAUCUUCACAGAGACUGAAGUAAAGCUUUGAAAUGCUCAGCUCUUGGAGCCUAAAAGAGCAGGAAACAGAGCCCUGUGCGAGUGCCUGCUGUGCUGAUCUGCUCGUUCUGCCCCAAAGAAACCUGAGCUACAAAGCUAAAUGUUGGCUCUGGGUACCCAAGCCCUAAUAUCAUGAGAAGAGCUGCUCUCAGUGCUGAACGAAGAGGCCUACAAAUGUGAACUCCAAGGAAUUGUUCUGAGCCUAUUAUUCUGCUAUGAAGUGUGCCCGUUCAGUUUUGCCUAUCAGUGGCAGCAGGGUCGUGAAGGCCAGGUAAUGAACAGAGUGACACCAGGAUGCUGCCCAGCUCCACCAAGCUCUGGGACAGCUGUGCAGCUGCAGGAGGAUGCUGGAGAAGCUGUGCAAGCUCUUUGGAUGUACUUUUCCUUCCUGGAGCAUAAUAAAGUGGGUAGCAUACGUACUGCUUUCUGCUGCCUAGAUUGAGAUGAAGUGGCAGAACAGGCUGAAGAAAGUAGGACAAAAAGGCUGAGGUAUGACAGCUGAUCUAGUUUUGUAUGUCUUAACAUGAUAGCUUACACAGUGAGACUCUUCUUUCUCCAAUAAUGAACAAUGGGUAACUGGAGACCGCUCUAUUUUCUGCUUCAUAUUGAAAGAAGACCUGAAGUCAGAUUUUCCACAACUGCCCCGUGUCCCAGCUGGUCCAGGCUGCUCUGUAUGUGCUAUCAUUUAACAACAGGAGGGAAGGAGGUGCUGCUGGCUGGGCAAUUGUACUAGAAUGCAGGAUUGAUGGAUUUUUAAGACAAGCUAGUGAGUUUGUCUUGUUUUCUCACCUGUUGGAGAAAAGGUAACGCUUCCCAUUCAGAGGUAUUGCACCUGCCUGGAGUUUGCAAAGAGGUCUCAUACGCUGCUUUAGUAGGAAGGGCUUUGGUUAUAAAGUCUUUUGGUUUAUGUAUUGUCCUCUCCAGAUAAAAUAACCAGAAAUGGAAUCCACUUAUGUUUCUAUUACAAACACACUACGUGAAUAUUCUACACAUUGCUCAGUCUACUGGAUGGAAAAAUCAUUUCAGGCCAGUGAGGAGGUCACUAUACUAUUUGCUAGGCCUCUCCUUUCCUAUUUAUCUCUCCCUUACUGUCUUUAAUCUUUACUUAGUGCUAGUUGCAGUAAACCCAGAGUUCCCCUAAAAUUUAUUCCAGGUAAAUGUUGAAAAGUGACUUUUUUUUUUUUUGACAAUUGUGUGGGUUUAAAUAAAAGGACUAAAAACCUUUGCCACUACCAGGCAGUCAAUAUGGGUAGUAGAGUUUUUGCUGGCAGGUAGGGCAUGUAAAGCCAUUAGACUCUGUUCCAAACUGUCACCACGCUGCUGCUCAUCCCCUUUGUGUUUGUAGCAAUAAUCCCUGCAGUGAGCCCCAGCAGGGUGAAGUCUUAUUUAUAGAAGUGUACCUGGCACUGAAAGAUACCUAAUGCAGGGUGAUGCCUUGGGACACCACCAGUAAAAGGGUAAGAGCAGUGAAUUAAGUUACUUUUGCAGUCUUCCUUUAAUGUUAGAUUGAUUUUUUUUUUUUUCCUUUUUAAAAGAGCACAAAUAAAAUGUCUGUUCCAGAUUUUGGUUGAAAGGAGAAGCUGUUCCAUGUCAUACAUAAGCUUUUACUGAUAAAAAGAUCAAAUGAGAAUUAGAUUAACCCUUGAUUUAACUUUGUAAUCAUAAAAUCUCUCUGAAAGAUUGUGGUAGAGCUUCCUUUUCUUUGACUUGUUUGCUCUGCAGCAACUUCUUUACACAGUAAGUCAGUCGUGCUGCUGCAGGAUUGGACUAAUUGCAGUGCUCCUUUAUUUAAAGGAUUUUGCUCACCAGGGAAUGAGAUCACAUGAAAGAAUGAAAGAGAACUGAGUAAUAUCUAGAGCACUCGUGUGUAAUACCUGUUACUGCCUACUGACAUGUCCAGGCAAUUCCAUUGGUUGACAUCAGCUUUAAAUGUUGUUUUCUGGCAAACAUCUCAGUCACUCUUUUUUUUUUCUUUUUUUUUUUUAAAAAAAAAGCUAAAAAUAAAAAAAUUUGGCCUCAGUGUUAUGACGUCUUCUCCAUUACCCCAAGUAUGUGCGAGGUGUGCUCAAUAGUGUGGCAUAUGCAACAUUGAGCUCUCUGGAAAAUGACCUUUAAAGGAUGUCUAAUUGUAAUCCCUCUGGAUUUUGGGAAUAACCUAUUUUUCCCUGUCACCUCUGGAAAACUGGAGAAGUUUUAUCAAUCUAGGGUUGCUGUUGAUUUCUCUUGCUAGCAGUGAUGAUUGGCUUCAGUUUCAUGGAAGAACUGGGCUAAGUGAUACAGCCUCUUCCUGAACCUGGACUCGUAGCACAUCCUGAGCUGGAAGGGAUCUGCAAGGAUCAUUGAGUAUUGGGUCAAGUGUCCUGGAUCUCUGACUUGCAAUGUGCUGGAACAGCCUGAAACUCCUGAACUGCCUUCCUGUGAGUCUGUGCUUGUGAACGUGGGGGUGUGUGAUGUAUGAGAUUGAGAUAUUGAACGUCAGGACACUUCUCUAUCUGAGCUCCUCUCUUUGGAUGCUUCUUGCUCACCAGCAGCUGGUACUUUGUGUUCCAUGCUGUUGGCCUGAGGCACAUACCAAGCUCCUGUGCUCAUCAUGUGCAGGUUGUUUUCGGAGGGCGUCAGACAGACCCCUCUCCUGACGGGAACAGAAUAAAAUAUAAACGAAGCAGAGAGCCCAGCAGGAAGAAGGCUGAAAGCUCGGGAUGUACCAAUGUGCUUUGGAGGGCUGCCUGCUGACUAACAAACACAGUCAGGCCUGCUCGCUGCUUCUCCAGAGCACUGAGUGUUUAAAUCUUCAAGGAUAUUUAAAGAACAAAGACAGAAAUACCUCCUGUUCCUCCUGACGUGCUUAUCAGAGCCUGCCUCUGCCCUCUCCUCUGCAGCAGAAGCUGUGCUGCCAGGACUGCACGGCACUGAUGUCAGCUCUCUUGGUAUCUCACUGCCAGCCAGCAAACAAACCUCUGCUCUAUGCCCCUGUCAUACGUCUGGCCUUGCUAACACGGGAAAGAUGUGGUGUGGUACAAGUUAAAUACAUCAUUUGGGUGUGAUAUGGUAUCUGCUGCAAGUGUUCAAUAGCCAAGAACGUGAAGGUUGGUGUUUCAUCACUACAACACCUGAGGGGCUUAGGGGUGUGUGCUGGCCGUGGGCUGAGGUAUUGUCAUGGACGGGAUACUGGUGCUAGAUCAGUCUGGAUUGCUAGACAAACAGGCGCCUGUGCUAAGAUUGUGAAAUAAAGCUCCUUUCAGCCUGGGAGAUGGGAGCGACCGCCCUGAGAGAGAGAAAAGUCCUUCGAGUACCUGGCAGCACGCUGGCACACGCAGUCAGCAGAACCAAAUUGAAGAGGUCAGGGAAAGUGCGGGGAAGUCUUAUUUAUCUGGUCAGGCAUGCGCCCAAAACUCGUCAUGCUUUUGCCUGCUCAGCAGUACAAAUCUAGGAGCAAAAUGCAUCAGAGACAUCAGAUGCCCUUCAUCGAAUUUACCGGAUAAAAGAAUACGGUGAGCGGAAAGCUGCUUCGCAUGUGCUGGUUUUUUGUCACUCCAAUUGCAGUAGAAAUAGAAGAGCCUACUUUUAAACUGUUUUCUAUUGUUGAUGGAGUAGGGUUUUUACCUUCCUCGAGCCUUAAUUCCAGUGAUGAAAUUUAGUUUUAAACAGUCCUGCUGCCAGCACCAGUGUCUGUUCUCUCUCUGCGAACUCAGGCAUGUCAGCAAGCAGUUCUGCAGCAGUGCAGGAUGAUGCUGCACCAACAGAGAGAAAACCUUCCUCUAACUGGUACCAAAUGCUGACUGAGCAAGCUUAUAGCGUUUAGCUGCUAUUGAAACGUGUGGAGAAAACAAAGAACCUGUUCCUUUACUGUCUCUAUUCCGCUUUCUGCCCCACAGAGAAAACCAUCCCACAAAUUGCCCGCUGCUGCUCUGUAGGUACUUGCAUGUUCCGAACUGGCAGACCCACGCGUGCCUCAGACCUAAUUAAGAUGUCUCCCAAAGCAGAGGAAGGAAUGUGUAUUUCAGUGCUGGUAAAUACAAUUUGGAGUUGCAUUCCUUAA